UGGACCAUCGAAUGCUGUCGCCUGAUCAACCAAUGCACCGCAGAUUCUAUGACGUAGCGUAUACUCACCUUUGAAACACUAACCACUAACAGUGGCCUUGACAUAUCUGCAUAAGACUUACUCACCUGCUUUCACCCUGCACUGAGUGAUCUGCACCUAAAACACUGACUACUUACCCUGCACUUCCAGUCUUGUAAAUAAAGUACUGUGCAUUGGAUUCACUUACCUCUGGCUCUCGUCUAUACCCUGACAGAAGGCUUGACCUACACAGCAAUGAAUCCGGCACAGUGUGAAGACAGUGCUUCCACAAACCCUGCUCCCAUGCUGGUGUAUGUCACAAACACCGUCUCUCGACCAGCGUCCUUCUCUGGCCGGGUGGAGGACUUAAACGGGUGUCUGCUGCAAUGCACGCUCACGCUCGAACAACGCGCUCAUCAAUAUCCCACGGAAAGAUGCAAGAUCUCAUUCAUAAUCCAGCAGCUUUCCGGGGCAGCAUUACUAUGGGCCGAGGCACUGUGGUUCCAGGAAACAGGAAUUGCCUCAUCCGUACAAAGUUUCAUAAGUAAUUUCAAGGAAGUGUUUGGACGCCCUGUUAGUGAUUCCUCUGAACCUAUGUCUUACUGCAGAAAUGAGGGCCAUUGUUUACGACUCUGCCCGUCUCAUCCUCCCCAAUUAAUGUUGAGUUCAGUCCAUCAUCACCCUUCUGUUUCAACCCUGUUAACCGUAAGAGUAACUCUGAAGUCUCAAGAAUUCAAUGUUGCAGCCACGGCCAUCAUGGAUUCCAGUUCAGCAGGCAACUUUAUCUCAGGAAACCUUGUCAGAACACUCAGGCUACAAAGGACCCGCACCUCCAAGCCAUACUCCAUCCAUGCAGUGACUGGUGAAAUCAUCAACAAGGGGUAUGUAACCUUUCAAAUAACACCAACCACCCUCUGUGUUGAAAGUAUUCAUAAAGAGUUGUUUGCCCCGUUCGUUCUUGAAAAUAGCCAAGACGAGGCAAUUCUGGGCCGUCCCUGGCUCAUUCAACACCAACCCACGAUAAGCUGGGAAACUGGGAAAAUUUUGAACUGGGGCUUCAACUGCAUCACCACUAGCCUAACACCCUCCACCCAACCUGAACCUGUGUCCGUUAGUUCCACAUCCAUUGAAAGCCCCAAAGAAAAUCUGUCCAUCCAAGUUCCAUCCUCCCGUGAACAACUCCAUAAUUCCCAUAUAUUCACCAAACGGGACCUCAGAAGUGCAUGGAAGGAGUCAGGAUGGAUGACCGUAAGACCCAAGCCAUUACCUCGUGGCCCACUCACAAGUCAAUCAAAAACUCACAGAGAUUCCUGGGUUUUGAAAACUUUUACAGUCAAUUCAUAAACAAGUACAGCAUGAUAACAGCCCCGUUAACAUCACUCCUGAAAGGGAAAAACCGAAGACCCUCCACUGGAACCCUGAAGCUGAACAUGAUUUCCAAACACUCAAAACCCACCUUGAUCACUGCUCUGCUACUCCAGCAUCCAGAUCCCGAGAAAAAAGUCAUUGUAGAAGUGGACACUUCAACGACAGGUGUCGGGGCUAAUCUGUCACAGUACCCUGAAAAUUCAUCCAAACCCAUGCCUUGUGCCUUCUUUUCCUGAAAGUUAUCACCCACUGAAAGAAACUAUGACAUUGGCCACUGACUGGAAGGGGCCAGACAUCCAUUUCUCGUCCUUACUGACCAUAAGAACCUCCAGUUUUAAUUUCCAAAUAGCCUACCAUCCAGGAUCAAAGAACAUGAGAGCAGAUACUCUGUCCCACCUCCACGCUCCCGAGGAAACUUUAGAAAGUCCCGAGCCCAUUUUACCCACCAAGUUAUUUGUCAAUCCCAUCCAGUGGGACCUCGACAAACAGAUCUGUGAGCUAUCACAAGACUUGCCCAUUCCUCCAAAAUGUCCCGCAAAUAAGAUCUUUGUACCUGAAGGUCUCCGCAAUUCUCUCAUCUCCUCCGCUCACUCCAUUGGAACAGGUCACCCCGGUGUCAACAAAACAUGCUUCACAAUUCGACAAAAAUCCUGAUGGCCAGGAAUGCUGAACGAUAUCAAGAUGUUUAUUCAGGGGUGCACACUCUGUGCCAUAAGCAAGGUAACACACCUCCAUCCUUGGAAUCAGGCACGCCACUACCUUCAACAGGCAAUAAACUGCCACCGGCUAUCUGCUGAUGCUCACCUGUCGCCAAGCUCCCACUUACCAACCUGGACAAUUGGUAUCGCUCUCCAACCGUGACAUUCAAAUGAAGCAACCCUGCCGUAAGCUAAGUCCAAAGUACAUCAGUCCCUUCCCAAUUGAAGAAGAAAUCAAUCCAGUCACUUACCGACUUCGCUUACCUGCCCAGUAUUGGAUACACCCCACAUUUCAUGUCUCCCUAUUAAAACCCCAUUACUCACCUGUUUCUGUUUCUUCUGUAGACCCGGUCCCUGAUGAAAACCCCCCGGUACCACCCGUAGAAGCCGAGCACAUCUACACGCAACCUCAUCACAGAACAGUAGAAAUCAUUCACCACAGCCCCAGUUCAGCGUCAAGCCUCCAACAGGAACGGACCAUCGAAUGGUGUCUCUUGAUCAGCCGAUGCACCGCAGAUUCUAUGACGUAACGUAUACUCACCUUUGAAAUACUAACUUCUGUGUCAUUAUUCUACUACCUCCAGGAUUCCUAAACACUAUCAUGUGGCCUGAAAUCCAGCGAUUUCCCCGAGUCUCCUGUGCUUUCUUCGAGCUUGCUUGAUAGCCUCCAUUUCUGAGAGUGAAUUGUGAAAGAGACAAGUAUUAGCGAACUGUGCUUGAAUUCGGCUUUGACAUAUCUGCAAAAGACUUACUCAUCUGCUUUCACCCCGCACUGAGUGAUCUGCACCGAACCUGCACCUAAAACACUGUCUACUUACCCUGCACUUCCAAUCUUGUAGAUAAA